rnacentral:rRNA from 1 species
AACCGUAAAAUUGCAGUUGAUACUGGCGUUCUUGAGUGCAGUUGAGGUGUGCGGAAUUCGUGGUGUAGCGGUGAAAUGCUUAGAUAUCACGAAGAACUCCGAUUGCGAAGGCAGCUCACUAAACUGUAACUGACGUUCAUGCUCGAAAGUGUGGGUAUCAAACAGGAUUAGAUACCCUGGUAGUCCACACGGUAAACGAUGGAUACUCGCUGUUGGCGAUAUACGGUCAGCGGCCAAGCGAAAGCGUUAAGUAUCCCACCUGGGGAGUACGCCGGCAACGGUGAAACUCAAAGGAAUUGACGGGGGCCCGCACAAGCGGAGGAACAUGUGGUUUAAUUCGAUGAUACGCGAGGAACCUUACCCGGGCUUAAAUUGCAGAGGAAUGAUCUGGAAACAGGUCAGUCUUCGGACCUUUGUGAAGGUGCUGCAUGGUUGUCGUCAGCUCGUGCCGUGAGGUGUCGGCUUAAGUGCCAUAACGAGCGCAACCCUCGCCGCCAGUUACUAACAGUUAAUGCUGAGGACUCUGGCGGGACUGCCAUCGUAAGAUGUGAGGAAGGUGGGGAUGACGUCAAAUCAGCACGGCCCUUACGUCCGGGGCUACACACGUGUUACAAUGGGCGGUACAGAAGGCAGCUACCUGGCGACAGGAUGCCAAUCCCUAAAGCCGCUCUCAGUUCGGACUGGAGUCUGCAACCCGACUCCACGAAGCUGGAUUCGCUAGUAAUCGCGCAUCAGCCACGGCGCGGUGAAUACGUUCCCGGGCCUUGUACACACCGCCCGUCAAGCCAUGAAAGCCGGGGNNNCCUGAAGUGCGUAACCGCAAGGAGCGCCCUAGGGUAAAACCGGUAAUUGGGGCUAAGUCGUAACAAGGUAACCA